rnacentral:rRNA from 1 species
UCUUACUGCCAUACCACCCUGAACGCGCCCGAUCUCGUCUGAUCUCAGAAGCUAAGCAGGGUUGGGCCUAGUUAACACUUGGAUGGAAAAUUAAUCCUCUGAGAUAACUGUUACAAGGAUGACAGUAAAAG